AGGUCGCCGGUAUCGAACCAUAGCAAUUGACUGCUCCUAUUGUAUAUGAAUGGCAGUGAUUUGCUUGAAGAGAUAAGUAAUAAUGUUGUGGACUUGGCACUAGAAUUUGGAACAUGUCUUUUCAUCAUACUUGUCUGGAAAUCAGUUUGUUCUUAAUUUAUCUAAGCUUUGAUUAUCCUUUGCCCCGAUCGGCUAUAAUUUGGGAUGAGACUUAGCUCACGGACAAACGUGAGCCAAUUAUUAUUAUUUUUAAUUUAAGUUAUUUAAAAAAUUAAUUUUAUCUUUUUAUAAA
rnacentral:lncRNA from 1 species